ensembl:snRNA U7 U7 small nuclear RNA
UACUGCUUACAGCUCCUUUUUGAAUUUGUCUAGUAGGUCUUCGGUUUUUACCGGAAGGCUCUU